rnacentral:lncRNA from 1 species
UAGAAGAUAGAUGCUGUAAGAAAAAAAUCAGUCCAGCGAGGAACAAUAGCGGUAUGUAAAACCUGCAAGGAAGAGCACCAAAACAAAUUUCAGUCGACGUAAACAUGAAGGAAAUUGUAUAACUGGAAGACCAAUUAUAAAGCAAAGGUAAAGACCAUGACAGUUUGAUGUUACUAAACUUGUCGAAACUUAAACUCAAAUGCAUAAUACACUUGAAAUACAUACUCAUUAACAAAACCAUGACAGUUUUGAGGCUUUGACCCGAUAAUCAUGAUAGGUUUAGCAUGCAACUAAAUAGAUGAACAGUAAAACCUUGCUGUGGGUAUGGGUAUAAUGUUCACACCAAAAUGUUGCUGAACAGGUUAUUAUGAAUGAAAUUGCAGAGAUAUAAGCAUUCAAACCAAGUCCACCCCUAUUGCAAUAUGCACACAGAAAAAUUAAAAUAGCAUGUUAAAGAAGAGCUUACUGUUCCUCAAAUCAGGAAAGCUUGACAGUUGACACCAAAGCUGCAAAAAUGAAAAAGAGUAGCUCAGUCACAUGAACACACUUGCCAAAUGGUCAAUUUCAUUUUAAGAAAAAAUCAAUCAGAUAAUUAAGAGAAACUACAAACCUAUAUAAGAGGAGAAACAUGAAAUGCAGAAUACCAGGAUGAAAUUGUAGCAGAACCUCAAUGUUUAGGGACUUGUCUUGCUCUCUCCAAAGUGAAAGUGUUUAACUCUAUCAAGAUAUACAUAGCAGUAUACCAGCAUAUGCAAGAAGUUUUAUUUCAAUUCUAUUGAAGCCAAUAAAAAGAGAAGGGUACUGAUUAUGAUUGCCACUCACAUCAAACCUCAUUUGAUUUUCGAUGUGUGCUUGAUGAUUCCUAUUUAGAGGGGAAAAGGUGUUGAGACCAAACCCAUACCUAGGCCCAAUCUACAUCAACAGCCCAUUCACUCCACAAAUAUCUCAAGACAGCUCCUGCAGAAUAGUACUGAAGCUCAAGAACCACAACACCGUUCCAGCUACAGACUUGUCUUCUUCUCUCUUCUGAAGCUCUAAGUUGUAACAUUUGAACUAGUUUGUCUUCUCUAUGAUAGUGGCGGUCCCUGUGCCAUGUGUUUACCCGUUGUUGCAAGAGAGAACUCCAUAUAUGUUGUAGCUUCCUUCCCAGUUGGGUAUCAAUGAAUAUGAAAACUCUUUAAUUUCUCUAUUUUUCCCCUUUUUCUGUAGUUGUAGCCUAUUAUCUGGUAUCAGAGACCAGCUCCGAUGAGAGGCAACCAAGUCCGGCAACCUUCGCCGGCAACCACGGGUGGUGCUGUGCCUCCCCUUCCCACCAUCCCCAACCCAACCCACCCACCCCAAAACAGCUC